rnacentral:rRNA from 1 species
AAAAUCUCGUUAAGGGUAUAUGGUGGAUGCCUUGACUCAAGAAGCCGAUGAAGGACGUAGCAGCCUGCGAUAAGCCUCGGUUAGGUGGCAAGCAACCUUUGAUCCGAGGAUCUCCGAAUGGGGAAACCUGUUCCGAUUAAAUGUCGGAACGUCCGCCAGCUGAACACAUAGGCUGGUGAGACGACUACCCGGUGAACUGAAACAUCUUAGUAGCCGGAGGAAAAGAAAACAACACGAUCUCUAAUCAAAUACUGAAUAGCAAUAUUCACAUUUGAUUAGCGAUUAGCAUUCUCCAAGUAGUGGCGAGCGAACGGGGAACAGUCUAAACCUUUUAAACCGCGUAUAUUGAUCCACUUCGGUGGAAAGAUAUAUUGAAGGAGCUGGGUCCAUAUGUUUAAGAGGGGUUGCAAGAUAGUUAUUAUCACUCCCUAGAAGAGUGAGGCAGAAGUAACACAAAAGUAAUUUACUAGUUGAAGCGAGCUGGAAAGCUCCGCCAGAGCGGGUGAUAGCCCCGUAAGCGAAAGGAAUUAUUAUUCUGCGAUGACAUAUCUUAAGUAAGGCGGGACUCGUGAAAUCCCGUCUGAAGCCGGGUCGACUAUGACCCAAGACUAAAUACUUCUUGAGAUCGAUAGUGAACAAGUACCGUGAGGGAAAGGUGAAAAGCAUCCCGGUAAGGGAGAUGAAAUAGUAUCUGAAACCAUAUACUUACAAAGAGUCGGAGCCUGGAGCAAUCCGGGUGACGGCGUGCCUAUUGAGGAAUGAGCCAACGAGUUUGCUGUAUGUGGCUUGCCUAAAUGCCAAAUGGCAUGGAGGCUAAGUGAAAGCGAGGGUUAAUAGCCCGCAUCUUACUUUUUAGAAAGAAGACUCGCAAGAGCCUACUUUCUAAUUUUUAAGAAGGUCGCAUAUACAAGACCCGAAGCCGUGUGAUCUAGCCAUGACCAGGCUGAACCUCGUCGAAAGACGAGGGGAGGGCCGAACCCACGAGCCGUGCAAAACUCGGGGAGGAGUCGUGGUUAGCGGUGAAAUUCCAAUCGAACUCGGCAAUAGCUGGUUCUCCUCGAAAUAGCUUUUGGGCUAGCCUCGAGUGUUUCUUUCCGGGGGUAGAGCACUGAAUGAGGGCGGGUCGCAAGAUACUGUCCUUAACCAAACUCCGAAUACCGGAAAAUUUAAGCUCGGGAGUCAGACUAUGGGCGCUAAGGUUCAUCAGUCUAAAGGGAAACAGCCCUAAUCGCAAUCUAAGGUCCCUAAAUAUAUGCUAAGUGUAAAAGGUGGUGUCGCGACUGCGACAACUAGGAGGUUGGCUUAGAAGCAGCCAUCCUUUAAAGAAAGCGUAAUAGCUCACUAGUCAAGUUGCCGCGCGCCGAAAAUAUAUCGGGGCUAAGCAUAUUACCGAAGAUGCGGGUUUCCUGCCUUAGGGCAGGGAGCGGUAGAGGAGCGUUCUAAAUUCGCUGAAGCCCAGUCGUGAGGCUAGGUGGAGGAUUUAGAAGCGAGAAUGUUGGCAUGAGUAGCAAAAAGGCAGGCGAAAACCCUGCCCACCGAAAACUUAAGGUUUCCUGGGCAACGCAAAUCGACCCAGGGUUAGUCGGUCCUAAGACGAGGCCCGUGUAGUGCGGGCGUAGCCGAUGGAUGAGCUGGUUAAUAUUCCAGCACUGCCGUAAUCUCCGAUGGGAGGACGCGGUUUAAAAGUUUGAGCGUUUCUAUGGUAUGAACGUUAAUGGUAUUUGAAAUAGGCCCAGGCAAAUCCGGGCCGACAUUUUCGGAUAUUGUUAAAAGACGAAGCCUUUGGCCGAGUCAAUUCAGGCGGAUAAAUCGCCCAGAAAAAUCUCUAGGUCGCCGCAAGGCGAAAAGAUUAUGGCAACCGUACCGCAAACCGACGCAGGUAAGUGAGGCGAGAAGCCUAAGGUGUACGAGAGAACCUUCGUUAAGGAACUCGGCAAAAUAGCGGUCGUAAGUUCGCAAUAAGACCUGCCCACGCAAGUGGGCCGCAGCUAAAGAAUUCAAGUGACUGUUUAACAAAAACACAGCUCCCUGCUAACUCGAAAGAGGAUGUAUAGGGGGUGAUGCCUGGCCAGUGUCCGAACGUUAAGGGGAGAGGUCAUUCCGCCGCAAGGCGGAGGCAGCUUUGAUCCUAAGCGCGGAUGAACGCCGGCCGUAACUAUAACGGUCCUAAGGUAGCGAAAUUCCUUGUCGGGUAAGUUCCGACCUGCACGAAUGGUAUAGCAACAGAACCGCUGUCUCAACGAGA